ensembl:lncRNA
AUGCAGAUGGGCUACAGCAGCAGAAGGCCACACCGGGUGCCGCUCCUUUCAGCUAAGAACAGGAAACGGAGGCUACAAUUCGCACAGGCUCACCAUAAUUGGACAAUAGAAGUUUGGAAAAACGAUGCCUGGUCUUAUGAGUCUCAAUUUCUGCUGCGGCAUUCAGAUGGUAGGGUCAGAAUUUGGCGUAAAGAACAUGAAAGCAUGGAUCCAUCCUGCCUUGUCUCAACGGUUAAGGCUGCUGCUGGUGGUGUAAUGGUGUGGGGGAUAUUCUUUGCACACUUUGGGCCCCUUAGUUCCAAUUGAGCAUCAUUUAAAUGCCACGGCCUACCUGAGACUUGUUCCUGACCAUGUCCAUCCCUUUAUGACUACAGUGUACCCAUCUUCUGAUGGCUACUUCCAGCAGGAUAGUGCACCAUGUCACAAAGCUCAGAUCAUCUCAGACUGAUUUCUUGAACAUGACAAUGCAUUCACUUUACUCAAAUAUCCUCCACAGUCACCAGAUCUCAAUCUAAUAGAGCAGCUUCGGGAUGUGGUGGAACGGGAGAUUCACAUCAUGGAUGUGCUGCUGAAAAAUCUGCAGCAACUGUGUGAUGCUAUCAUGUCAAUAUGGACCAAAAUCUCUGAGGAAUGUUUAUAAAUAUACUGUAGAUAGGUAUCUUUCUAUCUUUCUAUCUAUCGAUCGAACGAAUGAUCGAUCGAUCGAUAGAUAGAUAGCAUACAUGCAUACAUUGCAUUCAUGCAUGCAUUGCUAACCUUUUUUUGUCAGUGUUAAAAGUGAAUAAAAAGAAAAAACAGAUUUUAAUAAAACUACUGUAUUUAGGGCCAGAUUUACUAAACAUUACAUUUUCAUAAUGAGCAACGCAAUCUACCAAGAACAGCGCAAAGACAUGCUUUUUUGGGUGUUAAAUAAUGGCUCAAAUACCAGUAAUUUGACGAUCGCAAACAUUAGUAAAUCGUGUUGCGUGAUUCAUUUUAAUACUCUCCUCUCAUAAAUUGAGUCUGAAAGGGAAACUCCUACAAAUGCAUAUUCAAUAAGGUCAUGUCCAAAAAUAACUGUGUCUAUGCCUUUUCAGUGCUAAUUCUUUACUGCAUGUCUUUAGUAAAUACUGACUAUUUUAACGCCAAACGACAGUUUGUGCUGGCGCAAGCUGUUAGUUAAUCUGGCCCUUAGAUGCUAUACAACAUAUUUUAGGUUACAAAUGUAAACAGUAGAAAUCGGUUAGAGAAAAAAAAAAAGUACUGUUAUGGUAAAAAAGAUGUUAAUACCAUAGUACAGUAUAUUUUACCAUGUAACUCUUUAUGCUUUAAAUAACAUGAUUACAUGUCCACAAAAACAUUGUAAUACCAUAGUACGUUUCUGUAAGGUAAGAACAUAUUUAUAAAUUCCAGACAGUCUUAUUUUUGGAUAUUUCUUGCAUGCCUUUGUUAUUUGGAGAGGGUUUAAUGGUGCUCCAUGUUGAUGAAAAGGCCUGUCAACUUUUUAUCAUUGCAAUGAUCGUGGCUCUUCUGUUCAUUACCAGAACCUUGAGGAAGAAUGCUGACAGGCCCAAACAGCCUCUAGUCCAGAUGCACUGCCUCAGCUCCAUCAAUCUUCCCCCUGUACUCGCCUACAGACUCUUUCUCACAGAUGCACACAUUCACUCAUCUCGGCUCCAGUCUCUUACUCACAUACCCCAAAACACCACAAUCUCUAAAACAUAAGAAAAGGUUGGCAUAAAUACAACAACAUAUGAUGAAAUGUGUAUAUACAGUAAAUACUUUUAAUUUAAUUAAUGCUUUAAAAUAUAUAGUAAUAUUUUAUCUGCCACAGUUUUACAGAUAUUUUUUUUUUUUCAUAUUCUUUAUUAAUCACCAUAUCACUUAAAUUAUUCAAUUUAUUUGAAUCUGAUUUUAAUCAGCUAAUAGUUAUGUAAUUAAUAUAAAUAAUAUUUGAUCUGACAUUACAUGUCAACAAUUACACCUAGUUAUCCUCAUAAAUCUGAUGGCCCACUUGGAACUGUCUAGUUGCCUCAUUGAAAGUAGAUCCUGUCUUUAUUUUCUACAGUAUUUACAAUAACAGUGAGAUCUACUGGUGUUUGGUUGAGUUCCAAGCCUUUUUAGUCCGGUCUGUUACCUUUCUGGCCUUAUGAUCCUUUCUACUAAGCUAAAGAGUCUGAGGCCACUUCUAAUGAGCUAUGCAGGUGACACUGCAUAGAAAUCCAUUUAUAGCUAAAAGGCUUUCUAAGAAGGGUACUGAGGGAUCAAAGGAUGAUACUAAAUAGUGAUGAAAAUCACUAAGGUUACCCCAUUACAUUAUUAUCAUAAUACAUCGCUAACAAACCCAAAUUUAAGUUGCUAUAAUUGUUACCUCCACCAAACAAACUCUAGAAUGAACUACAAAACUCAAAGACUACAGAAGUGCAGCUUGUGUUUAGGCGAAGAACUGUACAGGGCAGUAUAAUUUCUAGUGCAAGAUCUGUGGCUUUAUUUAAAAAGCAACUACAAUGCAAUUGGAAAUGACCAGUCUUGCACUUAUUGCCAACACCAUACAUUACAAUGUGUGCUAUUGCUAUCUGGUAAUUGUCUGUAUGGGUUUUGUUGGGGUACUUUUGACAUGUCUUGUUAUUGUUUAACUCAAUUCAGUUAUCUUAGAUUAGAAAGAUAUUAAAGUGGAGUUAACUGUUUAAUAUAAUAUUAAGAAAACCUGGCUGAAAUCUGGAACCACUUUCAACAUACAUAAAAUACAUAUGACUCCAUAACUGGAUAUAAUUUGUCCAGUUAUAUCUGAUAUCUGCAUUAAAGAUGAUAUGAUUACCACUAAAAAAUAUUGCAUAAUAAUAAAAUGUUAAAAAAGGGAGCUUUUGGGUAUUGCUCAAUAUAGCAAAAGCAGUUAAUCACAAUA